UACGUAGGGGCCUAGCGUUGUCCGGAUUUAUUGGGCGUAAAGAGCUCGUAGGCGGUUUGGUGAGUCGGGUGUGAAAUCUCCACGCUCAACGUGGAGGGGCCACCCGAUACUGCCAUGACUAGAGUCCGGUAGGGGAGUGUGGAAUUCCUGGUGUAGCGGUGGAAUGCGCAGAUAUCAGGAGGAACACCAAUUGCGAAGGCAGCUCGCUGGGACGUUACUGACGCUGAGACGCGAAAGCGUGGGGAGCAAACAGG
rnacentral:rRNA from 1 species